AACGAAGGCUGGCGGCAGGCUUAACACAUGCAAGUCGAGCGCCCCGCAAGGGGAGCGGCAGACGGGUGAGUAAGGCGUGGGAAUCUACCCAUCUCUACGGAAUAACGCAUGGAAACGUGUGCUAAUAACGUAUACGUCCUUCGGGAGAAAGAUUUAUCGGAGAGGGAUGAGCCCGCGUUGGAUUAGCUAGUUGGUGGGGUAAAGGCGUACCAAGGCGACGAUCCAUAGCUGGUCUGAGAGGAUGAUCAGCCACACUGGGACUGAGACACGGCCCAGACUCCUACGGGGGGCAGCAGUGGGGAAUAUUGGACAAUGGGCGCAAGCCUGAUCCAGCCAUGCCGCGUGAGUGAUGAAGGCCCUAGGGUUGUAAAGCUCUUUCACCGGUGAAGAUAAUGACGGUAACCGGAGAAGAAGCCCCGGCUAACUUCGUGCCAGCCGCCGCGGUAAUAC
rnacentral:rRNA from 1 species